UAGACGGUGCCCACGUCACACUCUCCUUUAGGAUCUUUACCCUUUCCUAAAAAUAAUUGUCGUGGGCAUUAAAAA
rnacentral:ncRNA from 1 species